GAUUUCUGGCUUGAAACAUUUGGCCGGCCACGGUUUCGUGUGUUAGUGCUUGAUGUUCUGGCCAUCCUUCCAAUUGCUGUGUACCUUUCUUCAUUGAUUGGUGCAUGGUAUUGGAUCUUUUACUUUGAAAAAAUUAGAGUGUUUCAAGCAGGCUUUUGCUAUGAAUACAUUAGCAUGGAAUAAUAAUUUAGGACUUCGGUUCUAUUUUGUUGGUUUCUAGAAUGGAAGUAAUGAUUGAUAGGGAUAGUUGGGGGUGCUAGUAUUCAGUGGCCAGAGGUGAAAUUCUCGGAUUCACUGAAGACUAACUUAUGCGAAAGCAUU
rnacentral:rRNA from 1 species